GCCGGCUACAAUGAGUUGUAAUAAUAAAAACACUCGCAGACAGACACACAAUGAUACAAUGAACAAACGACGCGUGUGCCACAUGUCCCCUUCUUCUUCUCCUUUUCACCUUCUCAAUUUCCUCGUUGUUUAGUUCCCUACAAAUUGAAGAAUUAACAAUGGCAGCUUACAGAGCUUCAAACCUUACAAGGGGUUGUUUGGAAAUCCGUUUGUUCUACGUACGCAUAGCGUCGUGCUCAGUCGACGUUGUUCCUGCCCACCUCUUACUCCGUCACCUCCGCCGUGAAAUGGGUGUUUCAAACGCCGUUUCUGUGACGUUACGCCGUGAUAGGGUUGAUAAGGGAUCAUCAGAGGUGACGUAUGUUAGUACUGACAAUGUUAGAGUUUCUGGGUCGGUGGAAUUUGAGGUAUAUGAAGAGAAAGAGGAGUUUAAGGAGUUAAUACUUUGUGGGUCAUUGGAAAGAGUGGAGGGUACUUGGGAUAAUAAUGGUGAUGGGAACGGGUGGAGUAUGGAUUGUUGCAAUGCGGCGUCUUUUGGGAGUGGUGGGUCGGUGUUUUAUCAACCGACGAUUGAGGUUUAUGUAGCUGGUUGUUGUUCUGGUGUGCCUUUGAUUUUGACUAAGACAAUUCAGGUUAGUCCCAGGAGGAAGUUGUCUAGGCAUGGUAUGUUGGAUGUAAUUCCUGAAGAUGAUGAGGUUGGGAAUGGUUUCAUUCCACAACAAAAACUGCCGAUCACAGACUCAGAGUUGGAUGAUUAUGAGUCAGAAGGAAAAGUUGGACAUGGCUUUUACUCGGAAAACAUGUACCUCGGUGAAGAUGGUCAACUCUCCUGGUUCAAUGCUGGAGUAAGGGUUGGAGUGGGAAUAGGCCUUGGAAUGUGUGUUGGUGUUGGACUUGGGGUGGGGCUACUUAUGCGUUCAUAUCAAACAAUCACUAGGAACCUGCAGAGGAGGUUCUUUUAGGCAUGAGGCUUUCAGUGAGAGUAAGUUAUAGGCGUUAUUGACUUGAUUUGAUGUUGAUUUCAAGGUCGUUAAUGUCUGUUGCGAUGUUCAGCAUCCAACUGUAAGUAGGCAAUAGAGGAUAACAUAGUGGAGCUACUGAGGUGUGGCAUGAUAUAAAUGUCAAGUGUGAGGUGGUGAAGCUGGACUGAAAUAUCAGUUGCUGCAAAAGAUCCUCCAUUGUUGACCGACAUACCGAUGUGUAUGUAGCUGUAUUUGAAAGCGUUGGGAACUAUGUGUUUAUAGGUAUAGUGGCGUGUUGUGCUGGGGGAGGUAUAAGCUGUAUUUAGAUGUAAGUUUCUCUGUGUAGUUAGCGCGGGAUGCUGGUGAUGGUGAAGAUCCUUCUCAGUGUUACUUCUGCUAUGUUUAUAUAAUAAAUCCUUCAAUCCAAGCUGCCAUUCUGUAAUAAGUAGUGUUUGUAAAGUUCUGACAGAAGUGGAUACUGUAUAAAUUGCUAAUGCAACGAAUAGUCUCUCCUGUAAAUUCUUGCUUUUUGUUUAGAUUUUAAUUUUAUCUCGCUUUGGAUUCCUCUGCCAUAUUUAGUACAGUGCACUCAUAGUUGGAGUAAUUUUUUUUUUUUUUCUAAUCAUCAGGUGAAGCUGGCGUACAAGUUUUAUCAUGGUACUUUUGUCUUCUUUCCUUUUUGUAUUUGGAAAUUUCAGAGUACACUUACAAGUGAAGUAUUCUUUCUUAAAUUAGUCUUGUACAUCGAGUUAACAAGCUGUUUCUUUAAGUUUUGCUUGAUUGGCGCCUAACAAAUAAUGAUUAUUCCGUAAAUUAGUUGGGAGGGUAAUAUAUUGCUAUUCCUGUAUUAAUCGAAGUGUCUCCCACGCGCCUAACACCACAAUUAUACAAUUAUGGCAUGAAAAAGUUCGUACCAAGUACCAACCAUAAAAUUGUGAAUUGCCUUCUUAAUCUUAAGAAAAAAGAUCUCAACUGACUAUACUAAGUAUUAUAAUUAGUGGGGGAAUUCAUUUUCUAUUAUAUAUAGAUCAUUAAAAGAAUUUAAUAUAUGAAACUCGUACCCAUCAUUGAAAGUUAAAGCCACGUAAAAUGUGUCAGAAAGUUGCUGAUGGAAUACGCGUAGCAUGGACGUGCGUUACAUUUUUUUUAAUUUGUAUGUAUUAAGACUGACCCCAAACAGAACACGUGAAUACGCCUCUCCCGGUCCCUUUCUCUCUCUCUCUUUGGUUCUCCCUUCCAUUGAUUGCUAAGCAGCAGCAAGGGCGGAUCCAUCAUUCCAUUCGUGGUUGAAUCUGGGUGGUUGAAAGAAUGUCAGACGUAGAUGGAGCUGAAAAGUCAUCCACCCAACAAGAAGUUGUGUUUGCGCCAAGAUUUUUGUUUUCAUGUUACAUUUUAGUUAUACUGCAUAUAUACUGACAUAACAUAUCCUCCUUUUAUUUAAUAGGAGGAAGUUGUUAAAAA